AAUAGCUGACAUCUUCACUAAAGCACUAAGUAGAGAAAACUUUGAAAGGAACAUGUUAGAAUUAGGGAUGAUUAAGAUCACCUAAUCAGGUCCAGUUCUGAAUGCAAUGAAAAAAGGGAAUUUUAUUUUGUUUGGUUAGAAGUUCUGAUUUUAUGUGAAUAUCUAGACUAUUCUUACUCAGUCUCAUACUCUAAUCAGUAUACUCCUGUGACAUGUUUCUUUUAAUUCAUCGAUCUCUUACAAAGUUUUUUUCUAUUUUGAUACAUGAGGCAUACUCAAGAGAAGUUCUACUUGAAGAACCUGGUUCAUCAAGUGUAUGCUCAUAUGAAAAGGUCAGGUAUGUUUCUAUACCUUGCACAAUUAGAAAAUUAAAUAUUCCAAUUAUGAGCAAAAGUCCUAUUCUGACCAAACUCCCAAAAAUAUAACCGCUAAGCAUUGGACCAGUUUUCCACUCCUAUUAUUCUAAAGAAUAACGAGGCUUUUUCCUUAAAAACCAGUGCAAAUUAAAGACUGGAGCCUUAAUGGGAUUAGACUCCUGAUUGACCACUGCAAAAGGCUUCAGUUACUAAUCAUGCCCCUUUUAGAACACUCCACACACUCCUAAUUCUGUCCAUACCCACCAUUAAGUUUUGAUCAUCCUUCUUCUCCAAAAUCACCAAAAAUCCCCAAAAUCUUUAGAAAUCCUUCACCAUGUCUAACCCUCAAGAAAAUCUAGGGACACCCUUACUGGAAUCUACCAAUACGUCUUCGUCUGCACCCCCUAGCGACAACCCUAAACCCAAAUUCCGCUGGAAAAAUAUGCUGGCAAGUAAAGCUGUAGCCACUGGUGCUCUGAGAAGGGCUUUAAACGAAAAAUUGAGAGCCAACCAAAAGGGGGAGGACUCUAAAAAGGAAUAAUCUGACUCAAAUUCUGAGUCUAACAUCUUCGUUUCUGCAAGUAAUGGAGAAGAACGGGGGUCUUCUGACACAAAUAAAAAUCAAGAAAACCCUAGGAAAGUGAAUACAUGGUAUGGUUCUUCCGAUGCAGUCGAUCAUGUAGAAAAUAGGUUUAUUUAAGUGGGUCCUUUAAGAGAUGUGAAGGGGUAUGAAUCUAGUCGAAGUGGAAGGAAAAGGAAAGAUGAGAUUCUUGCAAUUUGUGGAAAUAUUGAGGAGAGUGGCAACAAGUCAGGGGGAAAUAGCUCUGGGGACGCUGCUGAAGGUCUUGUUCAUCUAAGUAAACAAGAAGUACGAAGUGGUUCAUCUGGUGAGGAAACCUUAGCUGACCUUCUAAAGAAAAUUGGAGCCAGUUAUGAUCCAAACAACUGCAAGGAUUCUUCUUUAAAACCUCAAAAUACUCCCAAGCCAACUAAGAAAACCAAGACAUCAUCCCCUAAGUCUACUGUCCCCUCAAGAGAAAGUAGAAGCAGGGUUAAACAAAGUGAGGUACAAAUGUAGAAAGCACUGGAAAAAAACAGGAGGAAAAAGAGAGAAAAAAGGGAACGCAAAAGUUCUGGAGAGUAUCGAGGUAGAAGAGGAAGAAAAAGAGGAGAUGGACCUAGUCCAUCAAGAAAGCGAAACAACUGAAAAUGUACCAUCACCUACACCAAAAGGUUCCAAGACUUCAACCAAAAAGACUUCCUCUUUACCCAUAUCUGCUGAGUCCUCGUUGUCUAAAAGAACUAGGUCUGCAGGGAAAAUAAAACAAAAGAAGAUUAUUGAAGAAGGCGAGGAAGAAUGGAGUGGAGAAGAAAAUGAGGAAGAAUUUGAAAAGGAACAAGAUAGAUUUGUCAUCUUUGGCAGAAGAAAGAUCUUGAAAGGGAGAAUUCUGAAAGACCUGGAGGAGCCAGGUAUGAAAGGAUUGGUUGAUGCUCUGAAUGCACAAGGAUAGAAGAACAUGGUUCUUCAACUAGAUAGCAAACAGGCAAGAAAAUAGUUGAUCGAGUUUAUGGCAAAUGCCUCAGUGGUGAAUGGGGUUGUUACUACUCUGGUGAGAGGAGUCAAGGUACAAUUUGAUGCUUCUAAAUUGGGUGAGAUUCUGGAGAUUCCGUGUGAAUGAUAUAAUGAUUAUAUAAUGAUUAUAUAAUGAUUCCCAGACAGGAGAGAAGGCACACAGCCAACUACAUGGACCUGGUUCUUCUAGAGUGUUUUAUGAGAAAAAGCAGAUUAACUGGCAUGCAUUCAUUGUAAAACUAUUUGAUAGAGUCAUCAAUGGCUCUAAGGCUCAUGCCAUACCCUAUGGGUUCCUAUUGAGUGUUGUUAUGGAAAAGCUACUUGUGCCGUUGAAUAAAUGAGAGAUGGAAUCUAGCAAAGAGCACUUUGGUGUAAAGACUCUCAUGGCCUGCGACUAUCUAGUGAAUGCCAACCCAGUUGAACUAUGUUCAUCUCAAAAGACUCCUGUAAAUAACAAGGUCAGGGAUUUGGUCCAGGAGUGUGGAACAAAAUAUACUGAGAUAGUCAGACUGAAGGCCAGUGUUGUUGAAUUAGAAACUGAACGAGAUGGACUUAGAGCUGAACUAGCAAAGGAAAAGGAGAAGAGUGAUGGAAUGCUUCAAAAUAUUUUCAACCUUCUCCAAACCAAGCCCUCUCGUACCUCCAAGACCUAAAGCCAGUUUAAACUACCCCCUCAGGGAUCCAUAGAUGGAAUGCUUCAAAGUAUGUUCAACCUUCUCCAAACCCAGCCCUCUCGUACUUCCAAGCCCUAAAGCUAGCUUAAACUACCCCCUCAGUGACCGAGAUUAGGGAUAUUGUUUUAUUAUGCUUUUGCUCAUGGUUAGAUGUUUAUUUUCUUUUUGUGGUUUGUAUUGUAGAAACAUCUCCUAAUCAAUCACAAUGUGCUAUGUUUCUCUUGUUCUAUGAAACUUCUGAUCUUAAUAGUUACAUUCUUUGUAUUGUUGAUUGUUGGUUAACUCAAACUUGUUUUCACUUGCAGUUGCCCCAGCGACCAUGAGUAGUAAUUAAUUUCUGGAUGUCAUAUAAUAUGCAACUUUUCGAUGAUGCCAAAAGGGGGAAGAGAUAUUGUACUUUAGUUUUUGUAUUAUGAUAUGAAGUGAUAUUUAUAACCUGAUUUAACCUGGUCCUUAAUGUUAAGUUAACUUAAAGUGUGUGACUAUGUGAUAAUUAAGCUAAGUUCCACAGGUUCUCUGAGUAGUAAAGGCACUGAGUUUGUCAUCAUAAAAAAGGGGGAAUUUGUUGGCCCAUGUUCAGUUGAAGAUUUGAAGAAUGACAAAUGAACUCAGUGAAGGACCAGGUCCAUCUUAGGAGACACAGUUGUUACAGCCUAUACACUGAGAUGCACGUGAAGAGGAUAAGACUUUGGGAUCGAGCAACAAUAUCUUCUAAAUGUCUUUUGAAAUAAUCGAAAAAAUUGGAUAGGAGAUAAAGAGAAGAGGUCUCCUUAUAUGAAGAGAACUAUAUUGUUUUAGGACUCGAACAUGCUGAAGGAUCAACAAUUCGAGUUUUUAUCAAACUCCGAUUACAAACUCUAUAAAAGUAAUACUGUUCUCUUGUACAGGUAGGAACAUAUACAAAGAAGUUAGAGAUAAAUUGAUAUCAAAAGAGCAAGACUAUUUUGCAAGCAAUUUACGUGAGAUCAAGUGUGCACGCCUAUAGCUACUUUAACAAGAUUGAAGAACCAGUUCCUUUGUGUUUUUCUUAUUCUAGUUCUAUUGUAGUAGGUGAUUUAAAAUUGUACUUUUCCAGCAUUCAUAGAAGAAAAUUGUAUUAGGUAUGGUAAAUAUUCAAGUUAGAGUUAACUUGAAAGUGUUGCAACA
rnacentral:lncRNA from 1 species